GAGUUUGAUCUUGGCUCAGAUUGAACGCUGGCGGCAGGCCUAACACAUGCAAGUCGAGCGGAUGACGGGAGCUUGCUCCUUGAUUCAGCGGCGGACGGGUGAGUAAUGCCUAGGAAUCUGCCUGGUAGUGGGGGGACAACGUUUCGAAAGGAACGCUAAUACCGCAUACGUCCUACGGGAGAAAGCAGGGGACCUUCGGGCCUUGCGCUAUCAGAUGAGCCUAGGUCGGAUUAGCUAGUUGGUGGGGUAAUGGCUCACCAAGGCGACGAUCCGUAACUGGUCUGAGAGGAUGAUCAGUCACACUGGAACUGAGACACGGUCCAGACUCCUACGGGAGGCAGCAGUGGGGAAUAUUGGACAAUGGGCGAAAGCCUGAUCCAGCCAUGCCGCGUGUGUGAAGAAGGUCUUCGGAUUGUAAAGC
rnacentral:rRNA from 1 species